rnacentral:rRNA from 1 species
GACGAACGCUGGCGGCGUGCUUAACACAUGCAAGUCGAACGGAAAGGCCCUUCGGGGUACUCGAGUGGCGAACGGGUGAGUAACACGUGGGUGAUCUGCCCUGCACUUUGGGAUAAGCCUGGGAAACUGGGUCUAAUACCGAAUAUGAUCAUCGGCUUCAUGGUCGGUGGUGGAAAGCUUUUGCGGGGUGGGAUGGGCCCGCGGCCUAUCAGCUCGUUGGUGGGGUAAUGGCCUACCAAGGCGACGACGGGUAGCCGGCCGGAGAGGGUGACCGGCCACACUGGGACUGGGAUACGGCCCAGGGUCCUACGGGAGGCAGCAGUGGGGAAUAUUGCACAAUGGGCGCAAGCCUGAUGCAGCGACGCCGCGUGAGGGAUGACGGCCUUCGGGUUGUAAACCUCUUUCAGCACAGACGAAGCGCAAGUGACGGUAUGUGCAGAAGAAGGACCGGCCAACUACGUGCCAGCCGCCGCAGUAA